CCUACGGGGGGCUGCAGUGGGGAAUUUUGGACAAUGGGCGCAAGCCUGAUCCAGCCAUGCCGCGUGAGGGAAGAAGGCCUUCGGGUUGUAAACCUCUUUCGGCCGGGACGAAAUCGCACGGGCGAAUAGUCCGUGUGGAUGACGGUACCGGAAGAAGAAGCACCGGCUAACUACGUGCCAGCAGCCGCGGUAAUACGUAGGGUGCGAGCGUUAAUCGGACUUACGGGGCGUAAAGCGUGCGCAGGCGGAGAAAUCCCCGGGCUUAACUUGGGAAUGGCGGUUGGGACGGGGUCUCUGGAGUGCGGCAGAGGGAACUGGAAUUCCAGGUGUAGCAGUGAAAUGCGUAGGUAUCUGGAGGAACACCGAUGGCGAAGGGAGGUUCCUGGGCCAGCACUGACGCUCAUGCACGAAAGCGUGGGGAGCAAACAGGAUUAGAUACCCGGGUAGUC
rnacentral:rRNA from 1 species